GCGGACGGCUCAGUAACACGUAGUCAACCUAACUCGUGGACGUGGAUAACCUCGGGAAACUGAGAAUAAACCACGAUAGAUCAUAGUGCCUGGAAUGGCUUAUGGUCCAAACAGUUUACUGCCAUGGGAUGGGACUGCGGCCUAUCAGCUUGUUGGUGAGGUAAUGGCCCACCAAGGCGAUUACAGGUACGGGCUCUGAGAGGAGAAGCCCGGAGAUGGGUACUGAGACACGGACCCAGGCCCUAUGGGGCGCAGCAGGCGAGAAACCUUAGCAGUGUGCGAAAGCACGACUGGGUCAGUCCGAGUGAUUCCUGAUAAAGGAGUCUUUUGCUUGUCCUAAAAGCACAGGUGAAUAAGGGGUGGGCAAGUCUGGUGUCAGCCGCCGCGGUAAUACCAGCACCUCGAGUGGUCAGGACGUUUAUUGGGCCUAAAGCAUCCGUAGCCGGCUUUGCAAGUCUUCGGUUAAAUCCACCUGCUCAACAGAUGGGCCGCUGGAGAUACUACAGAGCUAGGGAGUGGGAGAGGCAGACGGUAUUCAGUGGGUAGGGGUAAAAUCCUCUGAUCCAUUGAGGACCACCAGUGGCGAAGGCGGUCUGCCAGAACACGUUCGACGGUGAGGGAUGAAAGCUGGGGGAGCAAACCGGAUUAAAUACCCCGGGUAGUCCCAGCUGUNAACGAUGCAACUCGGUGAUGCAUUGGCUUAUGGCCA
rnacentral:rRNA from 1 species